rnacentral:rRNA from 1 species
AUUGAACGCUGGCGGAACGCUUUACACAUGCAAGUCGAACGGCAGCACGGGGGCAACCCUGGUGGCGAGUGGCGAACGGGUGAGUAAUACAUCGGAACGUGCCCAGUCGUGGGGGAUAACGUAGCGAAAGUUACGCUAAUACCGCAUACGAUCUACGGAUGAAAGCGGGGGACCGUAAGGCCUCGCGCGAUUGGAGCGGCCGAUGUCAGAUUAGGUAGUUGGUGAGGUAAAGGCUCACCAAGCCGACGAUCUGUAGCUGGUCUGAGAGGACGACCAGCCACACUGGGACUGGUAAACGGCCCAGCCUCCUACGGGAGGCAGCAGUGGGGAAUUUUGGACAAUGGGCGCAAGCCUGAUCCAGCCAUUCCGCGUGCAGGACGAAGGCCUUCGGGUUGUAAACUGCUUUUGUACGGAACGAAAAGGCUCUGGUUAAUACCCGGGGCUCAUGACGGUACCGUAAGAAUAAGCACCGGCUAACUACGUGCCAGCCGCCGCCGUAA